GGGUUGUGAGGUUAAGCGACUAAGCGUACACGGUGGAUGCCCUGGCAGUCAGAGGCGAUGAAGGGCGUGCUAAUCUGCGAUAAGCGCCGGUAAGGUGAUAUGAACCGUUAUAACCGGCGAUACCCGAAUGGGGAAACCCAGUGUGAUUCGUCACACUAUCAUUAACUGAAUCCAUAGGUUAAUGAGGCGAACCGGGGGAACUGAAACAUCUAAGUACCCCGAGGAAAAGAAAUCAACCGAGAUUCCCCCAGUAGCGGCGAGCGAACGGGGAGGAGCCCAGAGCCUGAAUCAGCAUGUGUGUUAGUGGAAGCGUCUGGAAAGGCGCGCGAUACAGGGUGACAGCCCCGUACACAAAAGCGCAUGUGCUGUGAGCUCGAUGAGUAGGGCGGGACACGUGGUAUCCUGUCUGAAUAUGGGGGGACCAUCCUCCAAGGCUAAAUACUCCUGACUGACCGAUAGUGAACCAGUACCGUGAGGGAAAGGCGAAAAGAACCCCGGCGAGGGGAGUGAAAAAGAACCUGAAACCGUGUACGUACAAGCAGUGGGAGCCCCACCACUAAGCCAGUGGUGAACUCCACAUCCGCAUCCUUUGCUGAGGAUACGGUUAACGGAGCGAAAGCGACGUUCAACCGCAAAACAAGCAGAGGGGGCUUAGUGGUGGGGUGACUGCGUACCUUUUGUAUAAUGGGUCAGCGACUUAUAUUCUGUAGCAAGGUUAACCGUAUAGGGGAGCCGGAGGGAAACCGAGUCUUAAUUGGGCGUUAAGUUGCAGGGUAUAGACCCGAAACCCGGUGAUCUAGCCAUGGGCAGGUUGAAGGUUGGGUAACACUAACUGGAGGACCGAACCGACUAAUGUUGAAAAAUUAGCGGAUGACCUGUGGCUGGGGGUGAAAGGCCAAUCAAACCGGGAGAUAGCUGGUUCUCCCCGAAAGCUAUUUAGGUAGCGCCUCGUGAAUUCAUCUCCGGGGGUAGAGCACUGUUUCGGCUAGGGGGCCAUCCCGGCUUACCAACCCGAUGCAAACUGCGAAUACCGGAGAAUGUUAUCACGGGAGACACACGGCGGGUGCUAACGUCCGUCGUGAAGAGGGAAACAACCCAGACCGCCAGCUAAGGUCCCAAAGUCAUGGUUAAGUGGGAAACGAUGUGGGAAGGCCCAGACAGCCAGGAUGUUGGCUUAGAAGCAGCCAUCAUUUAAAGAAAGCGUAAUAGCUCACUGGUCGAGUCGGCCUGCGCGGAAGAUGUAACGGGGCUAAACCAUGCACCGAAGCUGCGGCAGCGAACGUAUCACCCAAGACAACUUUACGGAGUUGACGAUUGACGGAGCGAAGCGACGUCAAAGCGUUCAUUAAAGUCGAGUUGGCUUAGGGAUACGUUCGUUGGGUAGGGGAGCGUUCUGUAAGCCUGUGAAGGUGUGUCGUGAGGCAUGCUGGAGGUAUCAGAAGUGCGAAUGCUGACAUAAGUAACGAUAAAGCGGGUGAAAAGCCCGCUCGCCGGAAGACCA
rnacentral:rRNA from 1 species